ACUUCGGAGGGCGGCCACGUGGCCUUCCACUUCCCGAGGUUGUUUUCUUCUUGGGUUGUGAAAUGGGAGCGAAUGGAUCUUUGGGUUUAGGAGGUCGGCCACGUGGGCGUGGGGGAGAAACGACGGUGCCUGGUGGAAGAGGGACUUUGGGCUUGGGUGGACGACCUCUGCCACGCUUAGGUGGGGCGUUGGGAUCGGGCUUCAUGUAGUUGUUUUUGAUGAAGAGGAGUUGCCCGGUUU
rnacentral:lncRNA from 1 species